rnacentral:piRNA from 1 species
CGUUGCCUAUCAGUAUCAAUUCAUUAU